AUGGGUUUCCAAGUCAACAUUGUCACCUUCUUGCUGCUCAGUGUCACAGGAUCCAGUGGAGAUAUUGUGCUGACCCAGUCUCCAGCUUCCAUGGCAUUUUCCCCAGGAGAGAGAGUCACCAUCAGCUGCAAAGCCAGCUCAAGUGUAAGCACUAACAGUUUACACUGGUACCAACAGAAGCCAGAAGCGAGUCCAAAGCUCCUUAUUUAUGGUACAUCCAACCUGGCCUCUGGGGUCCCUGGCCGGUUCAGUGGCAGUGGCUCAGGGACAGAUUACUCUCUGACCAUCAGCAACAUCCAGGCAGAAGAUACAGGAAUCUACUACUGUCAGCAGGGGUAUAGCUAUCCACCCACAGUGUUAGAGACUGGAACAAAAACCCCCCUUAAUACUUAG